AAAUACACAUGUUAGAUUUGGAAUUGACUUAGGAGAAAACUAGCGAUUCUACACCGUCAUUUGUUAAAACUACCAGAUUUAGCUUUAGGAGCCAUAGUUUGUUUGUAUCGUUGCAGUUUGUAAACGGUGGAUACCCAGGAUAGUGUAGAAUGCAUUUGCGCUCGUGCUGAGAUGCCGAGCUUAUUUUUAUAGCAGUGUUUAGGCUGUUCCGAACUGUUGGGUGCCGUUGAGGUUGACGGUGGACCCGAAUUGCUGUUUUUGCAUCAGAUUGUGCCGAGGGCACGUUAGUUUGGUUGUUAGACCCUGCUUACUUGAUUAUAGCCUGUGAGAGCUUGAUUGAGCUCGACAGAGACACGUUUGCAUACUCGGUUGGGUAGCACCCACGAGUGCCACUCCGGAGUCGGGCUUAAUGCUUUUGCGUUGAUGUCGGUUUGUCCUGUUUGGACUUGCUCUCCACUGACGACCUAGCAUGGUGGCAGUUAGUGUAGUUUCGACAGGCGGGACGGGUGUAUUCACAGUCCCUAAGAUUGGAUUAGAGAUUGUAUUAUUCUACAGGUAGUUAGUGUUGGAUCAUGAUAGUAUAGUGGCAUAUAGCUGUAAAUUAUUUUCAGUUCUUUACUAUCGUUGAGCAUAUCAUCUGUAAACUUAGUGGGUGAGCCGUUGAGGUCGGUAGCGGUACCCACUGAGGACUACUUCUUUUUGCAGUAGUUCUCACGCCCAGUUGUGGAUCUUUUGCAGAGCCUUCGAUUACGGUUGCUGCUACUGCUGCUACUGCUGAUACUAAUCGUGGAAAGGGUGUUGCGAGUUAGAGCUCUUCCUGACGAGUCACAGAGUUAUAGGAGUACCAGCUACAGGUAGUUGUAGUUUUUAGGUUAUUAUACAUACUGAUGUUUGUAUCUAGCUGGAGCAAGUGAUUUUGUAUAUCAGGAUGCUAUGUAUGUAUAGUGAACCUCUGUUGUUUAUAUAUGUUUUAUUUCAGCAGCUUUAUACUACUGGUUGUAGUGUUGUAUGAUUACAGGUACAGAUAAAGUUUCGCUUCGUAUACAAGAAAAAUUUCUAUGUAUACGGCUGGUCUGUUUGCGUGCCCAGGGUAACGAGUAAUCCGGGACGUGACAUAUAUAUAUAUAUAUAUAUAUAUAUAUAUAU
rnacentral:lncRNA from 1 species